UACGUAGGGGGCGAGCGUUGUCCGAAUUUACUGGGCGUAAAGCGCGUGUAGGCGGCUCUUUAAGUCAGAUGUGAAAUCCUGCAGCUCAACUGCAGAACUGCAUCUGAAACUGAAGGGCUGGAGUCUGGGAGAGGAGAGUGGAAUUCCUGGUGUAGCGGUGGAAUGCGUAGAUAUCAGGAGGAACACCCGUGGCGAAGGCGGCUCUCUGGCCCAGUACUGACGCUGAGACGCGAAAGCUAGGGGAGCGAACGGG
rnacentral:rRNA from 1 species